AGUUGAGACUCCGUACCAAUCAUACAUGCCUGCAGCUGUGCCUGCAGCCUCUCAAUCUCCCCUUUAAGGUUUAAGUUUUCCUGCUUCAGAACUCCAGGCGAUACCCAUUCACUCUCUCUAUUAAUGCCUCUAUCCCUGUUCAUUCCACGACCUCUCCAACCCCGGCCAUGGCCACCAGGAGAGUAUCCAGGACCCUCUGUUUUCCACUGUCCUAACUGAGUUCACAGCUCAUUGACAGGAGUUCCUUCUUGCUGUUUAACUGCAGUCUCCACUUUUGCAAUCCAUUCAUCCCAAGGUACCUCUUUGCCUCCAUUCUCGCACCAAGCAUUCAUCCAUUCUAACACCCCAGAAGGCAGUGCCUCCAGAACAAGUUGCUUCAAAUCCUCCAGGUUGUUUUGCAAGUAAGAACCAAAAGCUUCCUUGACUAAGAAUAAAGCCCCCAGCUUCCUUACCUUGGAAAGGAUGCAGAGAAGAGAGAAGAAGAGCAGCUGCUUUUCCAGUUGGCUUCUCAUGCUGCCUUACUCUCUGGCACUUCAGCACAUCAGUCCCCAGGCACUUUGGAGGCAGCAAUGUGUUUGCAGUUUUAAAAGUCUCGGAGUAAGGUCCUGCUGGUGUUUAUACUCUUCCCUGCUCUGAUGUCACUCACAAGCUCCAAUAUAAACAUGAGUAGGUUUGGACAAGCAUCAAGAUUUUUUUUUUUCCAAACCCACAUUCCAGCUGACAUUUCCACUCACCUCAAGGUGAGAAUGUGCAGCCCAUUGAGAAAGCAAAGAGAAGGGAGAUUCUCCCAUGGGCUUGGAGAAGCAGCAGAAGAGGGGAGAAUAGGCUGUACUAGAAUGCAGGAAAGUGUGCACAGCACGGAGAGAUUACAGUAGGGAAUGGCAAAUUGGCCAUAGCUGAGGUUGGUAGGAAAGCUCCAUGCUUAGUUACCAUACCCUGCUGUUUCAAACUCAACAUGAAUAGAACCUAUUUGUUUACUGAACUAUUUCCCUGCAGAUUUUGAAUUUCUAGCCUGCAGGACUUGUUUAUCCCUGGAUUUGCACAUUAAAAGUGAUUCCACUUUUUAUAAACCUUUUUCUGGAAUAUCUGCCCCAUUCUCUCAUUUCCUGCCAGUGGAAAAUCAACAUACACAGAUAAUCUGGCAUCCCCUCCGAACUCCUGACCAGGACAUUGGAACAACCAGAGAGGAGCCUGCCUCAGGGAAUCCAUCCUAGUUUUACACUGAGCCCACAUGCUGGGACAGGACUUUGAAAGUGGAAAGGGUCAGGGUGCUGUGUGGUUACUCAUGCAGUACAGAUAUCUCAGGGUUAUGUACCUCACUCACUAUGGAAGUUCAGUGAGUUGCUCUAGGCUCCCAGAAACGGAGGACACAAAGUUUGCAAGCUGUCUGGAGGGAGCAGUUCUGGUGAAGCCUCAAAAGCUUCCAGGAAAACAACAUGCUGUGGGCUAGAAGCUACGCUGCGCUGAGCGUCACAGGGCCCCAGGCAGGCAGCUGGAAAUGGCAUCAGAAGGAGGACCCCACAUCAAUUACUCCCUGAGAGUUGCCGAAAGCUGAGAUGUAAAACCAAGGUCCUGGCCUUGUGUGGUGACAGAAGAGCCCAUGGUAACUUUCGCAGGAGUUGCAUUAUUAACUCGGGUCUCUUGAUCAAAUUGCCGUUCUUUCUGCCUGCUGCGAUUCUUCCUAUAGUUGCAGCUACAUAGGGUAUUUUUCUUCACUUCCUGUCAUAAUCUAGCAUGUUGCGUUACUGUGGGCUGUUAAACAGCUGCAGUGUCCCAUUCCAGAGGUAGGUGCACUCCAGAUGCCUACGUGGUAAAGAGCUUUGGGAUGAGAGAUAGGUACAUGGAGUAUGUCUAUUAAUGUAAGACUUUUUCUCUAUUUUUAUUUUUUGGCUGUUUGCAUUAUGUUCAGGAGCUAGCCUAACAUUCUCAAUGUACAUAAUUCAGAGCUAAGCCAGCACAUAGGGCUUUCUUAGCAGCCAUCAGCAGGGCCUGGAACACAAACAAGUAAUCAAAGAGCUCUUAGGCCUGGUCUGUACUACAGGGUUAGGUCGAAUUUAGCUGCGUUAGGUCGAUUUAAAAAUCACUGCGUCC